rnacentral:tRNA from 7 species
CUCGUCAUGGCGCAGUGGUAGCGCGGCGGACUGUAAAGUUACAUAUAUCCGUCGGUCCCCAGUUCAAAUCUGGGUGACGAGA